rnacentral:rRNA from 1 species
AUUGAACGCUGGCGGCAGGCCUAACACAUGCAAGUCGAACGAGUGGCGGACGGGUGAGUAAUGUCGGGGAAACUGCCUGAUGGAGGGGGAUAACUACUGGAAACGAUAGCUAAUAAAGCAUACCAUCAGAUGUGCCCCGAUGGGAUUAGCUAGUAGGUGGGGUAACGGCUCACCUAGGCGACGAUCCCUAGCUGGUCUGAGAGGAUGACCAGCCACACUGGAACUGAGACACGGUCCAGACUCCUACGGGAGGCAGCAGUAGGGAAUAUUGCACAAUGGGCGAAAGCCUGAUGCAGCCAUGCCGCGUGUAUGAAGAAGGCCUUCGGGUUGUAAAGUACUUUCAGCGGGGAAGCGUUACCCGAAGAAGAAGCACCGGCUAACUCCGUGCCAGCAGCCGCGGUAAUAC